GUUAUAGGGUCAAGCGAACAAGUGCAUGUGGUGGAUGCCUUGGCGAUCACAGGCGAUGAA
rnacentral:rRNA from 1 species